rnacentral:rRNA from 1 species
UACGUAGGUGGCAAGCGUUGUCCGGAAUUAUUGGGCGUAAAGCGCGUGUAGGCGGCUCAGCAAGUCGGGUGUGAAAGCCCUCGGCUUAACCGAGGAAGUGCGCCUGAAACUACUGAGCUUGAGUACCGGAGAGGGCGGUGGAAUUCCCGGUGUAGAGGUGAAAUUCGUAGAUAUCGGGAGGAACACCAGCGGCGAAGGCGACCGCCUGGACGGCUAUUGACGCUGAGACGCGAAAGCGUGGGGAGCAAACAGG